GCUCGCACCCCGUGUGCUUUCCCCUUUCGGGGGGUUGGUGGGGUGUGGGAGUGGCGGACGGGUGAGUAACACGUGAGUAACCUGCCCUGGGCGUGGGGAUAACCCUGGGAAACUGGGGCUAAUACCGGAUGGCUCGCAUCUCUCGCAUGGGGGGUGUGGGAAAGGUUCUCUCCUGUGAGGGGGGGUUCCGGCCUGGGAGGGGCUCGCGGCCCAUCAGCUUGUUGGUGCGGUGAGGGCGUACCAAGGCGAUGACGGGUAGCCGGCCUGAGAGGGUGAUCGGCCACACUGGGACUGAGACACGGCCCAGACUCCUACGGGAGGCAGCAGUGGGGAAUUUUGCGCAAUGGGCGGAAGCCUGACGCAGCGACGCCGUGUGGGGGAGGACGGCCUUCGGGUUGUAAACCCCUUUCGGCCCUGACGAAUGUGACGGUAGGGGCUAAAGAAGCGCCGGCUAACUACGUGCCAGCAGCCGCGGUAAUACGUAGGGCGCGAGCGUUGUCCGGAUUUACUGGGCGUAAAGGGCUCGUAGGCGGUUUGUCGCGUCGGUCGUGGAAAUGUGCGGCUUAACCGGGCACGUGCGGCCGAUACGGGCAGACUCGAGGGCGGUAGGGGCAAGCGGAAUUCCUGGUGUAGCGGUGAAAUGCGCAGAUAUCAGGAGGAACACCGAUGGCGAAGGCAGCUUGCUGGGCCGUUCCUGACGCUGAGGAGCGAAAGCAUGGGGAGCGAACAGGAUUAGAUACCCUGGUAGUCCAUGCUGUAAACGUUGGGCGCUAGGUGUGGGGACCGGGUGAUGGUGUCCGUGCCGUAGCUA
rnacentral:rRNA from 1 species